GCCAGACUAGCUCAGUUGGUAGAGCAUGAGACUCUUAAUCUCAAGGUCAUGGGUUCAAGCCCCAUAUCAGGUGACA